GACGAACGCUGGCGGCGUGCUUAACACAUGCAAGUCGAACGGAAAGGCCCUGCUUUUGUGGGGUGCUCGAGUGGCGAAUGGGUGAGUAACACGUGAGUAACCUGCCCUUGACUUUGGGAUAACUUCAGGAAACUGGGGCUAAUACCGGAUAGGAGCUCCUGCUGCAUGGUGGGGGUUGGAAAGUGUCGGCGGUUGGGGAUGGACUCGCGGCUUAUCAGCUUGUUGGUGGGGUAGUGGCUUACCAAGGCUUUGACGGGUAGCCGGCCUGAGAGGGUGACCGGCCACAUUGGGACUGAGAUACGGCCCAGACUCCUACGGGAGGCAGCAGUGGGGAAUAUUGCACAAUGGGCGGAAGCCUGAUGCAGCAACGCCGCGUGCGGGAUGACGGCCUUCGGGUUGUAAACCGCUUUCGCCUGUGACGAAGCGUGAGUGACGGUAAUGGGUAAAGAAGCACCGGCUAACUACGUG
rnacentral:rRNA from 1 species